rnacentral:rRNA from 1 species
GACGAACGCUGGCGGCGUGCUUAACACAUGCAAGUCGAACGGAAAGGCCCUGCUUUUGUGGGGUGCUCGAGUGGCGAACGGGUGAGUAACACGUGAGUAACCUGCCCUGGACUUUGGGAUAACUUCAGGAAACUGGGGCUAAUACCGGAUAGGAGCUCCUGCUGCAUGGUGGGGGUUGGAAAGUUUCGGCGGUUGGGGAUGGACUCGCGGCUUAUCAGCUUGUUGGUGGGGGAGUGGCUUACCAAGGCUUUGACGGGUAGCCGGCCUGAGAGGGUGACCGGCCACAUUGGGACUGAGAUACGGCCCAGACUCCUACGGGAGGCAGCAGUGGGGAAUAUUGCACAAUGGGCGGAAGCCUGAUGCAGCAACGCCGCGUGCGGGAUGACGGCCGUCGGGUUGUAAACCGCUUUCGCCUGUGACGAAGCGUGAGUGACGGUAAUGGGUAAAGAAGCACCGGCUAACUACGUG